CGGCGGCCGUAACUAUAACGGUCCUAAGGUAGCGAAAUUCCUUGUCGGGUAAGUUCCGACCUGCACGAAUGGCGUAACGAUGGCCACACUGUCUCCACCAUAGACUCAGUGAAAUUGAAAUCGCUGUUAAGAUGCAGUGUACCCGCAGCUAGACGGAAAGACCCCGUGCACCUUUACUAUAGGUUUACACUGGACUUUGACCUUACUUGUGUAGGAUAGGUGGGAGACUUUGAAGCUGAGACGCCAGUCUUAGUGGAGUCAUCCUUGAAAUACCACCCUUGUAAGAUUGAAGUUCUAACCUAGGUCCAUUAUCUGGAUCAGGGACAGUGUAUGCUGGGUAGUUUGACUGGGGCGGUCUCCUCCUAAAGAGUAACGGAGGAGUACGAAGGUAUCCUUAUCACGGUCGGACAUCGUGAGGUAAGUAUAAAGGCAAAAGGAUGCUUGACUGCGAGAUCGACGGAUCGAGCAGGUAGGAAACUAGGUCUUAGUGAUCCGGUGGUUCUGAAUGGAAGGGCCAUCGCUCAACGGAUAAAAGGUACGCCGGGGAUAACAGGCUGAUACCGCCCAAGAGUUCAUAUCGACGGCGGUGUUUGGCACCUCGAUGUCGGCUCAUCACAUCCUGGGGCUGGAGCAGGUCCCAAGGGUAUGGCUGUUCGCCAUUUAAAGUGGUACGCGAGCUGGGUUUAGAACGUCGUGAGACAGUUCGGUCCCUAUCUGCUGUGGGCGUUUGGAGAUUUGAGGGAAGCUGAUUCUAGUACGAGAGGACCGAAUUGGACGAACCUCUGGUGUUCCGGUUGUCACGCCAGUGGCAUUGCCGGGUAGCUAUGUUCGGAAAGGAUAACCGCUGAAAGCAUAUAAGCGGGAAGCCUCUCCCAAGAUUAAAUCUCCCAGAGACUUUCUGUCUCCUAAAGAGUCGUCAUAGACUAUGACGUUGAUAGGCAAGAUGUGUAAGCGCUGCGAGGCGUUGAGCUAACUUGUACUAAUAACUCGUGAGGCUUGAUCAU
rnacentral:rRNA from 1 species